GUGCUCAACAGGAAAUCUGGUGUCUGAUUUUUAGUCGAGCUGAAAGCCAUGAAACUCAUUCUGCGGUGGAUUUUUUGCUUCAGUUUAGGUUUUGUCGCUGAUUGCCAAGUGAAUCGUUAUGGAUUGAAAGGAAGCUCAAUCCGUCUGAGCAUCAGUCCCAGAAAUCAGUCACUAACUAAUGUUGGGUGGCAACGAUUAAACAGGAAAGAGGUGCUUACAGACGCAAAAGAAGUUUCCCCUCAUUUUGAGAAAAGAAUGAGCCUAAACGUCUCAGACAUGUCUUUGACCAUACACAACCUUGAGGAAAAUGACAGUGGACUGUAUGAAGUCAUUAAGAAGUGGGAGUCUGAACCUCUGGCUGCAUUCACACUUACAGUGGAGAGUAAGAUCUAUGCAUCUCAUGUACACUGCAUGCUUAUAACAUGAUAUAUACUUCAGCAUUUCAGCUCAGAUGUUGCUGCUAACUCAGAAAUCAGUCACUAACUAAUGUUGGGUGGCAACGAUUCAACAGGAAAGAGAUGCUCACAGACGCAAAAGAAGUUUCCCCUCAUUUUGAGAAAAGAAUGAGCCUAAACGUCUCAGACAUGUCUUUGACCAUACACAACCUUGAGGAAAAUGACAGUGGACUGUAUGAAGUCAUUAAGAAGUGGGAGUCUGAACCUCUGGCUGCAUUCACACUUACAGUGGAGAGCACUGUCUCUAAGCCUGUAAUCAGAGUGGAUCAACAUGACUUUAAUUCGUCUGCUGAAGUGUGUCGGGCCGCAGUGAACUGUUCGGCUGAUGGCAGCUGGGCCACGUUUGACUGCCACCAAAAUAUCUGUACAAAGAUACGAUCCUCUCCAUUCUCCAUUAACAUCACUGUCACUGCACUGCACAGCAGCGGCAUCGAAUGCAACGUCAGCAACAACGUGAGCAAGAAUCAUUCUCAGACUCCCAUUACGUGCCAUGAAAAGCAGAAAAGUGAUUAUCGUUUUCUCCCAUCGCUCAUCUUCUGGAUCGUUGGCACCGUUUGUGGUGGUGUUUUGUUGGGUUUGGUUAUGGGUGGGAUUGUAGCAUUUGUCAAGAGAAGAAAAUGUUCAAAAGUUCAUCCACAGUCCAGUCGUGUUGUGAUUGAACAGCAUCAUGAAACAAUUUACUGCACCGUGGAAAAGCCGGCCACAUCCCAGACAUAUCCAGGAAACAACACUGUCAGCAACAAUGUAGAAACCAUCUACGACACUCCAUCACGACAUACCAAGGCUUGUCAAGUAGACAGUGUGGAGGUGAUGAGAGACAAUCAGGAGCAACAGCAAUCUGGACAAGACAGAACUAUUCAAGUAAAAGCUACAGUUCACCAGGCAGCAGAACCCGAUUCAGAUCCAAUAAACACUGUUUACUGCAAACUGGGAGAGAUAUGA
rnacentral:lncRNA from 1 species